GUAACGCGUGGGUAACCUACCUAUCAGCGGGGGAUAACUAUUGGAAACGAUAGCUAAUACCGCAUAACAAUGUUGGAUGCAUAUUCGACAUUUGAAAGUACCAACUGGUACACUGAGAGAUGGACCCGCGUUGUAUUAGCUAGUUGGUAGUGUAAUGGACUACCAAGGCGAUGAUACAUAGCCGACCUGAGAGGGUGAUCGGCCACAUUGGGACUGAGACACGGCCCAAACUCC
rnacentral:rRNA from 1 species